rnacentral:rRNA from 1 species
UAAUACGGAGGGGGCUAGCGUUGUUCGGAAUUAUUGGGCGUAAAGGGCGCGUAGGCGGCCGAAUAAGUCUGAUGUGAAAUCCCUCGGCUCAACCGGGGAACUGCAUUUGAAACUGUUCGGCUCGAGUCCGGGAGAGGGUAGUGGAAUUCCCAGUGUAGCGGUGAAAUGCGUAGAUAUUGGGAGGAACACCGGUGGCGAAGGCGGCUACCUGGACCGGUACUGACGCUGAGGCGCGAAAGCUAGGGUAGCAAACAGGAUUAGAUACCCUGGUAGUCCUAGCUGUAAACGAUGGAUGCUUGGUGUAGCGGGUAUCGACCCCUGCUGUGCCGAAGCUAACGCAUUAAGCAUCCCGCCUGGGGAGUACGGUCGCAAGGCUG